rnacentral:rRNA from 1 species
GACGAAUGCUGGCGGCGUGCUUAACACAUGCAAGUCGAACGGAAAGGCCUGCUUUCCCUUGUGGAUUGCGGGUACUCGAGUGGCGAACGGGUGAGUAACACGUGAGUGAUCUGCCCCCAACUUGGGUAUAAGCCUGGGAAACUGGGUCUAAUUCCCGAUAGGACUGCAGGGUGGUGCCUGUGGUGGAAAACGAUUUUCUAGUGGUUGGGGAUGAGCUCGCGGCCUAUCAGCUUGUUGGUGGGGUAAUGGCCUACCAAGGCGGCGACGGGUAGCCGGCCUGGGAGGGUGGACGGCCACAUUGGGACUGAGAUACGGCCCAGACUCCUACGGGAGGCAGCAGUGGGGAAUAUUGCACAAUGGGCGGAAGCCUGAUGCAGCGACGCCGCGUGGGGGAUGACGGCCUUCGGGUUGUAAACUCCUUUCGACCGCGAGGAAGCCACCUGGUUGGAAGGGUGGUGACGGUAGUGGUAGAAGAAGCACCGGCUAACUACGUG